UACGAAGGGGGCUAGCGUUGUUCGGAAUCACUGGGCGUAAAGCGCACGUAGGCGGGUCGUUAAGUCGGGGGUGAAAUCCCAGAGCUCGACUCUGGAACUGCCUUCGAUACUGGCGAUCUUCGAGUCCGGGAGAGGUGAGUGGAACUCCGAGUGUAGAGGUGAAAUUCGUAGAUAUUCGGAAGAACACCAGUGGCGAAGGCGGCUCACUGGCCCGGUACUGACGCUGAGGUGCGAAAGCGUGGGGAGCAAACAGG
rnacentral:rRNA from 1 species